rnacentral:sRNA from 1 species
UUUCCCCUCCGGCCUCUGCCGGUGCUGCUGCGCCCAGCGGAGCUCCGAGCACGUGCGCGUGAGGAGUCCCAUAGAGCCUGACUCCGAGAGCCUCGAUCUCCCAGGGCCAGGGGCAGGGACUUUGGAAGAGAGGCUGGCUGUGGCAGAUGCAACUGCAGGAUGACUUGAAAGUAGGGCAUCCUUCACCCAUCUGAAGGGAGGAAAUAGUGGCAGGUGACAGUCUGCAUGUGCAGUUUUCAGAUGCCUUCACCUGAAUGACAUCUACCUCCGUCAGGACCCCAGAUGUCUGACAGCCCUGUGUGACACCAAGAUAAGUAACAAUCUGGCUGCUGACUACCCUAUUGGACAACUCCAAUAUUAGAGAACAUUUCCACCAAUUCAGAAAGUUUAUUAUGCACUGCUGUUCUAGAGCAGGGAUCAGCAAACUUGCUGUAAAGAGCCAGG